UACGUAGGGGGGCAAGCGUUGUCCGGAAUCAUUGGGCGUAAAGAGCGUGUAGGCGGCUCGGUAAGUCCGCUCUGAAAGCCCGGGGCUCAACCCCGGGAGGCGGGCGGAUACUGUCGAGCUAGAGUCCGGAAGAGGCGAGUGGAAUUCCUGGUGUAGCGGUGAAAUGCGCAGAUAUCAGGAGGAACACCAAUGGCGAAGGCAGCUCGCUGGGACGGUACUGACGCUGAGACGCGAAAGCGUGGGGAGCAAACAGG
rnacentral:rRNA from 1 species